rnacentral:rRNA from 1 species
CCUACGGGAGGCAGCAGUGGGGAAUAUUGGACAAUGGGCGAAAGCCUGAUCCAGCCAUGCCGCGUGUGUGAAGAAGGCCUUCGGGUUGUAAAGCACUUUCAGUGGGGAAGAAAGCCUUGGGGCUAAUACCCUCGAGGAAGGACAUCACCCACAGAAGAAGCACCGGCUAACUCCGUGCCAGCAGCCGCGGUAAUACGGAGGGUGCGAGCGUUAAUCGGAAUUACUGGGCGUAAAGCGCGCGUAGGCGGUCUGAUAAGCCGGUUGUGAAAGCCCCGGGCUCAACCUGGGAACGGCAUCCGGAACUGUCAGGCUAGAGUGCAGGAGAGGAAGGUAGAAUUCCCGGUGUAGCGGUGAAAUGCGUAGAGAUCGGGAGGAAUACCAGUGGCGAAGGCGGCCUUCGGAACUGACACGAACGCGGAGGUGCGAAAGCGUGGGUAGCAAACAGGAUAAGAUACCCGAGUAGU